AUUGUACUUCCUCUGUUCGAAAUUACUCGUCCAAAAAAUGAAUGUAUCUAUAUAUAUUUUAGUUGUAGAUACAUCCAUUUUUGUGACAAGUAAUUCUGAACGAAGGGAGUACUUU
rfam:Triticum aestivum genome assembly, contig: Triticum_aestivum_CS42_TGACv1_scaffold_081328_1DS